rnacentral:rRNA from 1 species
UACGGGAAGGCAGCAGUGGGGAAUAUUGCACAAUGGGCGAAAGCCUGAUGCAGCUAUGCCGCGUGUAUGAAGAAGGCCUUAGGGUUGUAAAGUACUUUCAUCGGGGAGGAAAAACAAAACUAAUAAUUUUAUUUCUUGACGUUACCCGAAAAAGAAGCACCGGCUAACUCCGUGCCAGCAGCCGCGGUAAUACGGAGGGUGCUAGCGUUAAUCAGAAUUACUGGGCGUAAAGAGCACGUAGGUGGUUUUUUUAAGUCAGAUGUGAAAUCCCUGGGCUUAACCUAGGAACUGCAUUUUGAAACUGAAAUACUAGAGUAUCGUAGAGGGAGGUAGAAUUCUAGGUGUAGCGGUGAAAUGCGUAGAUAUCUGGAGGAAUACCUGUGGCGAAAGCGGCCUCCUAAACGAAUACUGACACUGAGGGUGCGAAAAGCGUGGGGAGCAAAACAGGGAUUAGAUACC